rnacentral:rRNA from 1 species
GGAAUUUUCCGCAAUGGGCGAAAGCCUGACGGAGCAACGCCGCGUGAGGGAUGAAGGCCUCUGGGCUGUAAACCUCUUUUAUCAAGGAAGAAGAUCUGACGGUACUUGAUGAAUAAGCCACGGCUAAUUCCGUGCCAGCAGCCGCGGUAAUACGGGAGUGGCAAGCGUUAUCCGGAAUUAUUGGGCGUAAAGCGUCCGCAGGCGGCCUUUCAAGUCUGCUGUUAAAACGUGGAGCUUAACUCCAUCAUGGCAGUGGAAACUGUUGGGCUUGAGUGUGGUAGGGGCAGAGGGAAUUCCCGGUGUAGCGGUGAAAUGCGUAGAUAUCGGGAAGAACACCAGUGGCGAAGGCGCUCUGCUGGGCCAUAACUGACGCUCAUGGACGAAAGCCAGGGGAGCGAAAGGGAUUAGAUACCCCUGUAGUC